GCCGCGUAUAUAAGUCGGUGCAAACUUUUUUUGUUCUGCAGCUUCCGAAAUUCCAUGAAGUCUGAUCAUUUUAGGUCCAUCAAUUGAAUAUAUAUAUUUGGUUCUAACAAAUCUGUGUAUGACAACAUGCUCCUGUUACCAUUCUUAUACAGCUUUAGAGUCAUUUUUUCGAAUUUUUUUCAUUUUUAACAUUUGAAGAUCUAUGACCAACUCCAAUUACAUCAAGUUCUCCUCUUCAUGAACAAUGUUCUCGUAUGUUUUCCAAUAUAAUAUGAGGUUAUUUGAAUUACUGGUUAAGGACUAGUUUUCUUUCAUGUCGACUUG